rnacentral:rRNA from 1 species
ACGCUCGACACCUACGGAGGCAGCAGUAGGGAAUCUUCCACAAUGGACGCAAGUCUGAUGGAGCAACGCCGCGUGAGUGAAGAAGGUCUUCGGAUCGUAAAACUCUGUUGUUAGAGAAGAACACGAGUGAGAGUAACUGUUCAUUCGAUGACGGUAUCCAACCAGAAAGUCACGGCUAACUACGUGCCAUCAGCCGCGGUAAUCUGAGCGGGCUGGCAAGGC